UUAAAUUGAAGAGUUUGAUCAUGGCUCAGAUUGAACGCUGGCGGCAGGCCUAACACAUGCAAGUCGAACGGUAGCACAGAGAGCUUGCUCUCGGGUGACGAGUGGCGGACGGGUGAGUAAUGUCUGGGAAACUGCCUGAUGGAGGGGGAUAACUACUGGAAACGGUGGCUAAUACCGCAUAACGUCGCAAGACCAAAGAGGGGGACCUUCGGGCCUCUUGCCAUCAGAUGUGCCCAGAUGGGAUUAGCUAGUUGGUGAGGUAACGGCUCACCAAGGCGACGAUCCCUAGCUGGUCUGAGAGGAUGACCAGCCACACUGGAACUGAGACACGGUCCAGACUCCUACGGGAGGCAGCAGUGGGGAAUAUUGCACAAUGGGCGCAAGCCUGAUGCAGCCAUGCCGCGUGUAUGAAGAAGGCCUUCGGGUUGUAAAGUACUUUCAGCGGGGAGGAAGGUGUUGUGGUUAAUAACCGCAGCAAUUGACGUUACCCGCAGAAGAAGCACCGGCUAACUCCGUGCCAGCAGCCGCGGUAAUACGGAGGGUGCAAG
rnacentral:rRNA from 1 species